AGCGAAAGGGUGGAGAAUCCGAGCCCUUGCUUUGCUGGAUUUGGAGCGCUGGAAUCGGUGGUGAUCGGCAAUUUAGGAGGUGACUUCUCGUCUUCCCGAGUCCUGAAGCUGAGCAUACCUCUUCGCCAUUUUUGGGGGUUUCCGAUACUGUAUUAGGUUAAGUGGCUCACUGUGAGGAGCUCGGCUACAACUCCCAGCAGUUAUUCUUCAUCCGGGAAGCAUUAGCAGCGACAUUCUUCAGUAGCGAAUCAUCAGUUGGGGCAUCCGGAUUUGGAGGAUGUUGGUUCGAGAUGAGCGUCUCGAUGUGGGAAUGGUAUUGGCACGAUCUUCGCAGUUAAGGCGGCAGGUAAAGGAUUUAUGGAGUCGCCUGGAGAGCCUGUCCGCCAGUCCCACGUCACA